rnacentral:tRNA from 2 species
CUGGGUGUGGCUCAGGUGGUAGAGCGCUACCUUGGGGUGGUAGAGGCCGUGGGUUCAAGUCCCGCCACUCAGACCA